rnacentral:misc_RNA from 1 species
AAGUCGUAACAAGGUAUCCGUAGGUGAACCUGCGGAAGGAUCAUUAACACGUGCAAACGUAUUAAUAUCACCUUUCUUACAACCCGUGAAUCAAACCCCUACCUAAGGGCAUAGUGUUGGUUGAAUAUGAUAGUAGUAGGAUAUGUCUCGGCAUAUGUAAUCAUAUUCAAUCUGAGGAUUCGAACCUGCAGAUGCUAUGUUUCUUAGGCUUUUUUCUUUUUUCCCCUACUACAAAAAACCAAAACAAACCAAUUUCACCUAUUAAAACCAUAUUGACUGAUGUACGUUGAAUGUCAAGAAAUUGACUGGUUCAACACCAUUUAUCUUAAACUAAGCACAACUCUUAGCAAUGGAUAUCUUGGUUCUC